rnacentral:rRNA from 1 species
AUUGAACGCUGGCGGCAGGCUUAACACAUGCAAGUCGAGCGGUAGCACAAGAGAGCUUGCUCUCUGGGUGACGAGCGGCGGACGGGUGAGUAAUGUCUGGGAAACUGCCUGAUGGAGGGGGAUAACUACUGGAAACGGUAGCUAAUACCGCAUAACGUCGCAAGACCAAAGGGGGGGACCUUCGGGCCUCUUGCCAUCAGAUGUGCCCAGAUGGGAUUAGCUAGUAGGUGGGGUAAUGGCUCACCUAGGCGACGAUCCCUAGCUGGUCUGAGAGGAUGACCAGCCACACUGGAACUGAGACACGGUCCAGACUCCUACGGGAGGCAGCAGUGGGGAAUAUUGCACAAUGGGCGCAAGCCUGAUGCAGCCAUGCCGCGUGUGUGAAGAAGGCCUUCGGGUUGUAAAGCACUUUCAGCGAGGAGGAAGGUGGUGAACUUAAUACGUUCAUCAAUUGACGUUACUCGCAGAAGAAGCACCGGCUAACUCCGUG